AAGUCGAGCGGACAGAAGGGAGCUUGCUCCCGGAUGUUAGCGGCGGACGGGUGAGUAACACGUGGGUAACCUGCCUGUAAGACUGGGAUAACUCCGGGAAACCGGAGCUAAUACCGGAUAGUUCCUUGAACCGCAUGGUUCAAGGAUGAAAGACGGUUUCGGCUGUCACUUACAGAUGGACCCGCGGCGCAUUAGCUAGUUGGUGAGGUAACGGCUCACCAAGGCGACGAUGCGUAGCCGACCUGAGAGGGUGAUCGGCCACACUGGGACUGAGACACGGCCCAGACUCCUACGGGAGGCAGCAGUAGGGAAUCUUCCGCAAUGGACGAAAGUCUGACGGAGCAACGCCGCGUGAGUGAUGAAGGUUUUCGGAUCGUAAAGCUCUGUUGUUAGGGAAGAACAAGUGCAAGAGUAACUGCUUGCACCUUGACGGUACCUAACCAGAAAGCCACGGCUAACUACGUGCCAGCAGCCGCGGUAAUACGUAGGUGGCAAGCGUUGUCCGGAAUUAUUGGGCGUAAAGGGCUCGCAGGCGGUUUCUUAAGUCUGAUGUGAAAGCCCCCGGCUCAACCGGGGAGGGUCAUUGGAAACUGGGAAACUUGAGUGCAGAAGAGGAGAGUGGAAUUCCACGUGUAGCGGUGAAAUGCGUAGAGAUGUGGAGGAACACCAGUGGCGAAGGCGACUCUCUGGUCUGUAACUGACGCUGAGGAGCGAAAGCGUGNGGAGCGAACAGGAUUAGAUACCCUGGUAGUCCACGCCGUAAACGAUGAGUGCUAAGUGUUAGGGGGUUUCCGCCCCUUAGUGCUGCAGCUAACGCAUUAAGCACUCCGCCUGGGGAGUACGGUCGCAAGACUGAAACUCAAAGGAAUUGACGGGGGGNCCGCACAAGCGGUGGAGCAUGUGGNUUAAUUUCGAAGCAACGCGAAGAA
rnacentral:rRNA from 1 species